GGGUGGGGGGGGACCGACGGGGGGAAGGGAAUGAGGGGUUGGAGCUGUUUGGAGGGAGGAGGAAGAGAGGAUGUGGGGAAGGUUGGAGUUGUUGGCAUGAGUGGUAAAGGGGUCGAGGGUGAAUGAGGUGGUGGCGGGUGGAGAUGUUGGCGUGGGUGGGGAAGGGAAAGGGGGUUGUAGGGAAAGGGAAGGGAGGGGUCGAGGGUGAAUGAGGUGGUGGCGGGUGGAGAUGUUGGCGUGGGUGGGGAAGGGAAAGGGGGUUGUAGGGAAAGGGAAGGGAAAGGGAAGGGGAAGGGGUCAGGGAAGAUGGGUGUGGGGUUUUUUUUUUUUUAGGGUAAAUUAUUAUUUUAAUAAUUUUUUAAUAGAAAAUGGGCCAUGUCUCAAGUCACGUCAACAUUUAACAGAUGAAUUAACAGACAACUGACGGGAGGUAUGAAAUUGUAGCAAAUUCGUAGAUGAGAUAUGACAUUGAAACUUAGGUAUGAAACUGUUAAUGACCCAAUAGUUGAGGUAGUUUUAUAUAAUUUACCCAAUAAUUAAUUAUGAGCAAAAAACUUAUCAUGAUUCAGGACAACCACAUAUAUGUUAACAUAAAAUCUUAUGAUUAUAAUAAUAACAAUAAUUAAAGUGAAAAGAAAAUCAACUCACAAUCCACAGUUGAGCAGUGGUUCCUCUUCCUGUACAAGAACUCAUAUGUCGAAGAGCAAAUGUAGUCUGCCUUGUAAACCUAAACCGAUUAGGAUCUAUACCCAAAAGAAGUUGAGUAUUGAAAAAAGAAGAUUGAAUUACCUGCUGUACUUUAUUGAAAUUGAAUUAUGGAACAAAUGAAACAAAUUAAGAUUACACCUAAAACGAUUAAGAAUUUUAUGUCAUUGUUUAUCAUACCAUUUGCCACUUGGUAUUCCACUGUCUGAGUUUCUUUUUCCCAUGCUUCCCAACGCCUCAUCUGUAAAUUUGUUUGAACGCAAUGUUAAACUAGUUACCCGAGUAACCAAUUAGUUAUAAAUUAAUAAAUUAUUACAAGGGAAAUAAAGUGCUCUGCCAUUUAAGUAAAAGCCACUAGAAUAUUAUAAAUGCAAAGACUUGUUUUAAAAAUGGGACUCUUCAUGAACUCGCCAUUUUAUAUUUUUGGCACAAUAUUUUAUGAU
rnacentral:lncRNA from 1 species